rnacentral:rRNA from 1 species
CACGUAGGAGGCGAGCGUUGUCCGGAAUCAUUGGGCGUAAAGAGCGCGCAGGCGGCUUGGCAAGUCGGGUGUGAAAUCCCGGGGCUCAACCCCGGGACUGCAUUCGAUACUGUCAGGCUAGAGGGAGGUAGGGGAGAUCGGAAUUCCUGGUGUAGCGGUGAAAUGCGCAGAUAUCAGGAGGAACACCGGUGGCGAAGGCGGAUCUCUGGGCCUUACCUGACGCUCAGGCGCGAAAGCUAGGGGAGCGAACAGG